CUGAAUUUGGCUUUAAGGCAAAGUGGCCAAUGAGUUUGGUGUAUGGGCGAAGGGCAUCUCGCAAUUAUAGGAUUGCUUGUGACCGAGUAAGAGUCGCUACUGACUUAGGAUUGGAAAAAACAGGUUCAGGUUUUCGCGAAUGAGAGGCUUGCAUUUUACAAUACAUGUUUGCUUGGGACGAACCAUGGCAGCCAUUGAAUUGGAAUUUGGAAAUCAUUUGUCAAUGAGUUUAGUGCAUGCGCGGGAGCGGCGUCUUGCAGUUACGGAAUUUGUUUAGUGGUCAGUUGCUCAUAUGUUUGGGCAAGCAGAGAAAUGCAUCUCCCAAUAGACCCAAUCCAUGAUUGCUUGGGAUUGAGCACGAACAUUGCAAAUGCAAGAGGUGCAUCUCGCAAUACAUGAUUGCUUGAGACCGAGCGCACGCGCUUACUGCAUUUGGAUUGGACUGACAAGGGCCAAUGUUUUGGCGAUUCAGAACAGUAUACCUUCCUUGCCAUACGCGAAUCACCCAAUUCUUGGGCAAUAUAUGUUUUUCGAGUGUGUAUGAAGUUACUGAUCUUGUGUUUGAGCUCGUUCGCUGGUUUUCGUUUGCAUUUCUUGGGUUCUUUUUUCUUUUUCUUGGUUGGUGGGGGUCAACUUUCCCAGGGCUAUCUAAAGCUCUUUGUGUUCGACUCUAGCAGUUGUGCCGGGACUGUUGCCCUUUUCUGGUCCUUCCGGGGGUGCUUUGGGGAUUUACUUCUCUAUUCAUCUUUUCUCUCGCUAUUCGCUAAACUUUGUUCCGUUAGCAGCUUCUGAGCGUCUUAAGAAGCGAGUCAUUGGGUGGAAGUUUCUCCCGGGGACCAGACCUGUGGCAUCAGUUCCGGGUUAUUCUCUGCGUUCAUUGUCGCUUGACCAUGCUAGUCCACCUAUCGCUUUUCACUUGCAUUUUUUUUCAUACUGUCCAUUGCCGGUUUGUUUGCUUAAUCGAUUAUAGUUUGGUUUGUGUGUGUGGCACAUGCGAAUCGGCGGGGUUGUAGGGUAUUUGAGCAGGGGGGUUUGGUAUAUGAGAAUGGCGGCUUGGGUAUAUGAGAAUGGGAGUUUGGGUAUAUGAGAAUGAGGGUUUGGUAUAUGAGAAUGGGAGUUUAGGUAUAUGAGAAUGGGGUUUGGUAUAUGAGAAUGGGGGUUUGGGUAUAUGAGAAUGGGGGUUUGGGUAUAUGGGGGGAAAUGCAGUGUUGGGAGCGAGUAGUAACUGAACUGCGGAGGAAUUCAUUUCCGUGCUUCAUUUGGAAACAAUGGACCUUCCUUUUCCCCAAUGCUUAAUCAGUGAUCCGUGGCGGAAUGGCCAUUUGGAUAUUUUACUAUUCAAAUUGGCCAAACACGCCGCGGAAGCUGAUUAACUAAUGGAAUUUGAGUAAUU